GUUGGAUGUGGGAGUUGCGGGCUUCUAUAAAAGUCGGCUCUUCUUAAAUGCAUUAGUGAAACCUUUUAUUGAUCAUCUCUGGUGUGAUAAUUAUCUACGCCAUUGAUUAUACGAGGUUCUGCUUCCUAAUCGUCCUUUUAUUAGGACAAUUUCAUUGACCAUUUGACCUCAAAUCAGGUAGGACUACCCGCUGAACUUAA
rnacentral:misc_RNA from 1 species